UGGCGGACGGGUGAGUAAUGUCUGGGAAACUGCCUGAUGGAGGGGGAUAACUACUGGAAACGGUAGCUAAUACCGCAUAACGUCGCAAGACCAAAGAGGGGGACCUUCGGGCCUCUUGCCAUCGGAUGUGCCCAGAUGGGAUUAGCUAGUAGGCGGGGUAAAGGCUCACCUAGGCGACGAUCCCUAGCUGGUCUGAGAGGAUGACCAGCCACACUGGAACUGAGACACGGUCCAG
rnacentral:rRNA from 1 species